rnacentral:rRNA from 1 species
UACGGAAGGCAGCAGUGGGGAAUAUUGCACAAUGGGCGCAAGCCUGAUGCAGCCAUGCCGCGUGUAUGAAGAAGGCCUUCGGGUUGUAAAGUACUUUUCAGUCGUGAGGAAGGUGUUAAGGUUAAUAACCUUAGCAAUUGACGUUAGCGACAGAAGAAGCACCGGCUAACUCCGUGCCAGCAGCCGCGGUAAUACGGAGGGUGCGAGCGUUAAUCGGAAUUACUGGGCGUAAAGGGCACGCAGGCGGUUAAUUAAGUUGGAUGUGAAAUCCCCGGGCUUAACCUGGGAAUGGCAUUCAAGACUGGUUAGCUAGAGUCUUGUAGAGGGGGUAGAAUUCCAUGUGUAGCGGUGAAAUGCGUAGAGAUGUGGAGGAAUACCGGUGGCGAAGGCGGCCACCUGGACAAAGACUGACGCUCAUGUGCGAAAGCGUGGGGAGCAAACAGGGAUUAGAUACC